GAUGAAGAACGCAGCGAAAUGCGAUACGUAAUGUGAAUUGCAGAAUUCAGUGAAUCAUCGAAUCUUUGAACGCAUAUUGCGCUCUCUGGUAUUCCGGAGAGCAUGCUUGUUUGAGUAUCAGUAAACACCUCAACUCCCUUUCUUCUUGAAAUGGAGCUGGACUUGAGUGAUCCCAACGCUUUAUUCAUAAAGUGGCGGGUUACUUGAAAUGCAGGUGCAGCUGGACUUUUCUCUGAGCUAUAAGCAUAUCUAUUUAGUCUGCCUCAAAACAGAUUAUUACCUUUGCUGCAGCUAACAUAAAGGACAUUAGUUCUUGUGCUGACUGAUGCAGGAUUCACAAAGACCGCUUCGGCUGUCUUUGUAAACUCGAUCUCAAAUCAAGUAAGACUACCCGCUGAACUUAAGCAUAUCAAUAAGCGGAGGA
rnacentral:misc_RNA from 1 species